CGGCUCUGCCACAGAAGUGAUAAGGGAAAAGCCUGGUGCCACCUGCAAAUACAGCUCUGGAAUAGUCACCUGCGGCUCCUGUCCCCGCCUGAGGAUCUCCGAGGAGCAGCCCAGAGGACGGAGCAGAGGGGCCCUGGUGGCACGGCCCGGGGCGUGCUGACGGACAACAACAACGGGAAUUCUCUUGUCGGCACUGCAACCCCAACAGCAUCCUCCUGCUUGCCUUUGGGGGAAGGUUGUUCCGGUCCCCGUCUUUCUAAAGACACUGCUUCAUCAUCUUCCUACCUCCCACCAGCCCCAGAGCAGGUCACUGCCACAGUCACCACGAACACACCCCGGGAAGCGAUGCUGUCUGCAUGGAUGCAAACCAAUGAGAAAAACCUACAAAGAGUCUUUUUCCAGGGACCGAGUGAUCAGAACAACCACAGGGGAAGGAAAGCACACCUAACAGAGCUAAUGAGAUUACAACAGGCACCGUGGGUUCCUUGCCAGGACACUUGUAAUCAUGCCACAUUUUUAAUCCCUGCUAGCAAGAGACAAACAAUUGUGCAUAAUUACUUACAAGCACAAGUUAACAACUGUCUUCAUGGUAAACACAGAUACUCAAUUGCUUCAACUGCCCAAAACUCCCAAGUCAGGGUCAUCCUGUGCCAGUAGUCACCACUCACCGGCGCUUGGGAUAUUGAAGACUCAGGUCUUGAAAACUUAUUCCCUAACAAGUGCCCCAGGCAAACGAGUUUGGCUCUCCCACCAGUGCCACGCUCCCAGCCAUGACAGAUUAGCACCAAGAGACCUGAAAGCCCAGAACACGCUGCUCUGCCCAGGGCCUCGUGCCAGCGGGUCCAGCAGGCCCACAGGGCACCCCAGCUGCCCCGUGCAGGACUGCCAGCACAUCAGAGAGCUUUUGGGAGCCUGAGCACAUCCCCCAGCCUCCAGUCAAGGUGCACUGCAACUCCACAGGCUGCCAGCCACAAGAAGACAAGUAUUACUCCCAGGAGCUGUAAUGCCUCGAAGCUCUGACAGACUCGCCUGGUGCAACCUCCCACUGACUUCAGUGGCUCCUCUGGCACAUCCCCGUCAGACGUGGUUUCAUCUGAGUCUAUUUCACAGUUUCUGGAACUGUUUUAGCAGAACCACCUAACUGUGACAUUCCAUCUGAAUUUAACACACCCAAGUGCACUCAGUUCAUGAAAAUGGGAUAAAUAAUGAAAAAGAGGCCAUAUGUUGCACACUACGUGCCCCAGGCACGUGCAGGAAUCAGGUACUGCUCCAAGACUUCUGUCCCUAAUCAAACCACAAACAAGUUCCCACCAGCAGUGCACUGGCACUGAUAUACAAAUCCCCCAGCCCAAUCCUCUCUUACUUUAGAUUACAGUAAUGCUAUUUUCAAGUCAGAAAGUUAUACUGCAAAUUCCAUAAACCCUCUUUUCUUUAAGGAGCAGACGGUUACGGAUUAGCCACUAUUGCUGCAAUUUUAAAAAUCUUUAAAGUCAAGAAAUAUGCCUGUUGAUUUCUCUUUUUAAUGACCUGGGGCAUAUAUCAGUCUCCUUUACAAACUUUGGGACUUGAGGGACACGCAGAAUUCACAGUCUGACAGCCUUAGCUGGACGUGUAUUUAUGAAGGAGAGCAGGGACAGGCCAGUGCCUGUCUCGGACAAGGACACGGCACAUGAGCUGUUUUUCUGCUCUUGCAACUUCAAGCCAGGGACACAAAACAGGGAUGGAUUACUCUGCCUUUAACCCAUUUUCCAUCAAAUUUGUGUAUUACAAAGCGUUCACAUACCCAUCCCCACCACCAAACUUGCAAAUACUGUUUCUGGUAAUAAAAACGUAUCCACACUGUAAUUCCUUUAUCAUAACAUCCACACAAUGUAUUGUAGAAAUGGGAAGUUCUCUAUUACCCUGGCAUAGGGGGAUUUCAACUGUUUAAGAAGUGAAAUUUCCCAAGCAAGUCUAAAAAGAAGUUGUUUAUCUUUAAAAAUAACAGCAAUCUAGUGAUGCAAGUUAAAAUUCUGAGAAGUAACAAACUGAACAGAAAAAAACAAGAGCUCUUUUAUUAAAAUCAGUCUUACAUGCUUGCUCUAAUUAAUAGUAAUUUUAAAUAUGUUGUUUCUAUACAAAGACAUUUGAGAGGCUCUAACAAAACAACUAUGCACUCUUCCAAAAACUACAAGCUAUUUAUUAAUCAGACUCUUGCACAUUUUGUUUGAUUAACUGCAAAUGUACACAAGCCAAGCGAGGCAGGAGAGCAGCGAGAUGACCCACGGCAGUGGGGUCAGACCAGGAUCAGGCCCCCCAACACCACCAUCCCCCCGGGGCAGCACAGACCUGUAAAACCUUCCCUACUCCCUCCUGUGCAGGGGUGUGACCCUCACCCUCAUCUCCCAGUCUGUUUCAGUGGGAGCGGAUGUCGGGUGUUCUCCUCAAGAACAGCCAUGUGGCAAACCCCGGGGUGAAUCCCACAGGAGAGAUUCAGAGCUGGGAGGUGCCUAUAACAGUAGCAAAGAGGAAACACUCCCAUAGUGACAGCUGAUUUCUAACUGUACAUGUGUGUAUGCAUUUAUAUAAAACGUGAUUAUUGGCAUCAUCCAUGAUAACCUCCACCACAGAAAAAAAAAUCCAUGUCCAUGACUCAGCAAGGGAAGCAACUGCUUCCUUCUGCCAGCAAAUUCCGUUGUGCCAAUGAAGUGAAGGAGAAGUGACCCAGAGGAGCUCUCACUGGUGAGAGGUGCAGCAGACACCCCCCCAGCUUCUAGCAGACCCAAUGCUUAAACACCUCCUGUACCAGAAGGGAAAACACACUUCACGAAUAUCACAAUGCACCUUAUUACUACUCAGGUACCCACCUUUUACAAUCAGA